GACGAACGCUGGCGGCGUGCUUAACACAUGCAAGUCGAACGGAAAGGCCCUGCUUUUGCGGGGUGCUCGAGUGGCGAACGGGUGAGUAACACGUGAGUAACAUGCCCCUGACUUUGGGAUAAAUUCAGGAAACUGGGGCUAAUACCGGACAGGAACUCCUGCUUCAUGGUGGGGGUUGGAAAGUUUCGGCGUUUGGGGAUGGACGUGUGGUCUAUCAGCUUGUUGGUGGGGUGGUGGCGUACCAAUGCGUGGACGAGUAGCCGCCCUGCGAAUGUGACCGGCCACAGUGGGAUUCGGGUGGGAGCCGUACGCCAUCGGGGGGCAUCAGUGCGGAAUUGUGCGAGAUGGGCGGAAGCCGGAUGCAGCGUCGUCGCGUGGUGGAUGUCUGUCGUAGGAUUGGAAAGCGUGUGAGCCUGGGACGAUGCGUGAGUGACGGUAAUUGGUAAAGAAGCACCGGCUAACUACGUG
rnacentral:rRNA from 1 species